UGGCGCGGCUUUCAGCGUUUUGAAAAAGGUGUCAUGGGGUGUCGGGGGUCGGAGGUUCAAAUCCUCUCGUGCCGACCA
rnacentral:tRNA from 1 species